rnacentral:rRNA from 1 species
UACGUAGGGGGCAAGCGUUGUCCGGAAUCAUUGGGCGUAAAGAGCGCGUAGGCGGCCCUGUAAGUCCGCUGUGAAAGUCAAGGGCUCAACCCUUGGAUGCCGGUGGAUACUGCAGGGCUAGAGUCCGGAAGAGGCGAGUGGAAUUCCUGGUGUAGCGGUGAAAUGCGCAGAUAUCAGGAGGAACACCGGUGGCGAAGGCGGGUCUCUGGGCCGAUACUGACGCUGAGAAGCGAAAGCAUGGGGAGCGAACAGG